rnacentral:rRNA from 1 species
UACGGAGGAUGCAAGCGUUAUCCGGAUUUAUUGGGUUUAAAGGGUGCGCAGGCGGGAGAUUAAGUCGGCGGUGAAAUUUUGCAGCUCAACUGUAAAAGUGCCUUCGAAACUGGUUUCCUUGAGUGUAGAUGAAGUAGGCGGAAUUUGUGGUGUAGCGGUGAAAUGCAUAGAUAUCACGAGGAACUCCGAUUGCGCAGGCAGCUUACUAAACUACUACUGACGCUCAGGCACGAAGGCGUGGGGAUCAAACAGGAUUAGAUACCCGGGUAGU